rnacentral:rRNA from 1 species
UACAGAGGUGGCAAGCGUUGUUCGGAAUUAUUGGGCGUAAAGAGCGUGUAGGCGGUCCGGUAAGUCAGCUGUGAAAGUCAAGGGCUCAACCCUUGAAAGCCGGUUGAUACUGUCGGGCUAGAGUCCGGAAGAGGCGAGUGGAAUUCCCGGUGUAGCGGUGAAAUGCGCAGAUAUCGGGAGGAACACCAAUGGCGAAGGCAGCUCGCUGGGACGGUACUGACGCUGAGACGCGAAAGCGUGGGGAGCAAACAGG